rnacentral:rRNA from 1 species
GCCCUUCAGCAGCCGCGGUAAUACGUAGGGGGCAAGCGUUGUCCGGAAUUAUUGGGCGUAAAGCGCGCGCAGGCGGUCAUGUAAGUCUGGUGUUUAAUCCCGGGGCUCAACCCCGGAUCGCACUGGAAACUGCGUGACUUGAGUGCAGAAGAGGAGAGUGGAAUUCCACGUGUAGCGGUGAAAUGCGUAGAGAUGUGGAGGAACACCAGUGGCGAAGGCGACUCUCUGGGCUGUAACUGACGCUGAGGCGCGAAAGCGUGGGGAGCAAACAGGAUUAGAUACCCUGGUAGUCCACGCCGUAAACGAUGAGUGCUAGGUGUUAGGGGUUUCGAUACCCUUGGUGCCGAAGUUAACACAUUAAGCACUCCGCCUGGGGAGUACGGUCGCAAGACUGAAACUCAAAGGAAUUGACGGAAGGGC